ACCCUGUUGAGCUUGACUCUAGUCUGGCCUUGUGAGGCGAGCUGAGAGGUGUAGGAUAAGUGGGAGCCCCGGCGCCAGUGAAAUACCACUACUCUUGGUCUCGCCCCACUCACUCCGUUAGCCCGAGCCGGGCCGCAAGGUCCUACCGGUUGGCGCGCUAGGGCGACUAGGUCGCCCGUCGGUGCGGAGGACAUUGCCAGGUGGGGAGUUUGGCUGGGGCG
rnacentral:rRNA from 1 species